GAUGAACGCUGGCGGCGUGCCUAAUACAUGCAAGUCGAGCGAACAGACGAGGAGCUUGCUCCUCUGACGUUAGCGGCGGACGGGUGAGUAACACGUGGAUAACCUACCUAUAAGACUGGGAUAACUUCGGGAAACCGGAGCUAAUACCGGAUAAUAUAUUGAACCGCAUGGUUCAAUAGUGAAAGACGGUUUUGCUGUCACUUAUAGAUGGAUCCGCGCCGCAUUAGCUAGUUGGUAAGGUAACGGCUUACCAAGGCAACGAUGCGUAGCCGACCUGAGAGGGUGUUCGGCCACACUGGAACUGAGACACGGUCCAGACUCCUACGGGAGGCAGCAGUAGGGAAUCUUCCGCAAUGGGCGAAAGCCUGACGGAGCAACGCCGCGUGAGUGAUGAAGGUCUUCGGAUCGUAAAACUCUGUUAUUAGGGAAGAACAAAUGUGUAAGUAACUAUGCACGUCUUGACGGUACCUAAUCAGAAAGCCACGGCUAACUACGU
rnacentral:rRNA from 1 species